rnacentral:lncRNA from 1 species
CAGAUAAGCUCUGCUUUUUUCCAAUAGAUGGUUAUUAUUUUGUUCAAGAAAGAUAAGAGUACAGGCUUGCUGAGGUAGAAACACGUGAACAGUCUGAGUGCCGAGGCUGAUGGAAGCAUGGGCUUGAUUGGAUUGUUCGAACCAGGGACUCACCUAGAAGGUCAGGGGUCUCAGAAUCCAGAAAGGACCAGUCCUCAUUCCUGGCAUUGCCCUGCCAGCUUUGUUCCCUCUGGGUCACAGAGACACUUUUUGAAUUAAGGACACUGUUUGGAAGCAGAGGGACCUGGUUUGAAUGUCCUUUUCUCCAGCAUGUACAAUUUCUGGGAACUUGGGCAUAAAAGAGUGAGCCAGAGACAAGGUGUCUACCCUUGCAGAGCUCAGAGCCAGGGGACAGAGGUGACAGAGGGAAAUCACCUAACAGCACACAUAGGUAGUUACCACACUGCUGUGUGUUAUGAUGGAACACCGCAGGGAGUUAUGAGUGCUUAACGGGGCCGGGAGAUCCAGGGCAAGGAAGACAGCCGGCAGGAACUGACAUGUGAGGAGAGAGUGAAGGAGGACUUCACAAGGAGGACUUAUCAGUUGUCAUUAUAUCAUCAUUGGAGCCCAGGGCAUCAUCAUCUGUAGCCUGACCCCUUCCAUUGUUUCUAAGUGUGCUCCUUGCUUCUGUCGCUUGCUCACCUAUCAUCAUCAUGCAGAGUAGCUGGAACCAUCUUCCAAGAAAUUAAGAUGACUUUAUGGUUCUGUAAAUCAGGGUUGCCUACAACGAGGAUAACAGCAAGAAAUUCCCUGAGAAGCCACAGGACCUGAGCAGCACUCACAUUUGGAAAUGUCAACACUCCUAAUAAAAAUAAAACCCAGAAACCUCCACUAUCAGUAGAAUUUCUUGAGAGGGCCGGGCAAAUGAAUCAAGAAAUCUCAGCCUUUCCCCCCAAGAUUCACCUUCCUGCUGGAGCUUCUCAAAUAUUACUGCUACCACCACGAUGCUCUCCUCCAAAGAACCCCUUCUGCUUUUAACAUUUGGGGCCACCAUAUAGGUGAAAGACUCACCCACUUGUCCAGCUGAGCUGUACAACGAGACUUGCUUGGAGAUGGCGAUGAGAAAAUAAAACUAGG